rnacentral:ncRNA from 1 species
CCUAACGCUGGAAAGCGGGCGCUGAACACUCAGCGCCCCACCGAAGGAGCAAUGCGGGCGCGCCUCUCCCUGGCUGGCGCCGCGCGGGAAUCUCUCAGGUCUUCAAGACAGCGGGGG